rnacentral:rRNA from 1 species
AUGAGUCUCCACUGAAAAGGCGCUAGAGUUAUGCUCUUUGGUGUCGCCCAAGGAUGGGGCCGCGACCGAUCAGGUUGUUGGUGAGGUAAUGGCUCACCAAGCCUUUUACCGGUGCGGGCCGUGGGAGCGGGAGCCCGGAGAUGGGCACUGAGACAAGGGCCCAGGCCCUACGGGGCGCAGCAGUCGCGAAAACUUUGCAAUAAGCGAAAGCUUGACAGGGCUAUCCCGAGUGCCAUCCGCUGAGGAAGGCUUUUACCCAGUCUAGAACGCUGGGGGAAUAAGGAGAGGGCAAGUCUGGUGUCAGCCGCCGCGGUAAUACCAGCUCUCCGAGUGGUGUGGAUGUUUAUUGGGCCUAAAGCAUCCGUAGCUGGCUAGGUUAGUCCCCUGUUAAAUCCACCGAAUUAAUCGUUGGAUUGCGGGGGAUACUGCUUGGCUAGGGGACGAGAGAGGCAGACGGUAUUUCCGGGGUAGGGGUGAAAUCCUAUAAUCCCGGGAGGACCACCAGUGGCGAAGGCUGUCUGCUAGAACGCGCCCGACGGUGAGGGAUGAAAGCUGGGGGAGCGAACCGGAUUAGAUACCCGGGUAGUCCCAGCUGUAAACGAUGCAGACUAGGUGUUUGGACGGCCACGUGCCGUUCUAGUGCCGCAGGGAAGCUGUUA